rnacentral:tRNA from 1 species
AGGAGUUAAAGAGAAAGCUGCUAACUAUCUCAAAGCAAUUAUUGUUGAACCCC